ensembl:lncRNA
GAGCUUCAGUGUGUGCUCCCCGGGCACGCAGCCGCAGCCAGAUGACAAGCAGCCCCAGUCCCCCACCCCUUUUAUUUUGAAGGAAGAUUAGCCCUGAGCUAACAUCUGCUUCCAAUCCUCCUCUUUUUUUUGCUGAGGAAGACAGGCCCUGAGCUAACAUCCGUACCCAUCUUCCUCUACUUUGUAUGUUGGAUGCCUGCCAUAGCAUGCUUGACAAGCGGACACAAUUGGAAACUUUGGUUAUAUUACCAAGUCUGGAAUUGACUGGAAUGUCAUGUUUGAGAGAGACAUGCAUAAAUUCAGAUAUGACUAAAAGGCUAUAAGGAAUUAAGAUUGACUCUAUGAAGCCAAUAAAAUCCCUUGGAAAACCAGCCUGGUACAUACUUACAGGGUUCCUGACAGUCUAACCAGAACUAAAGCUGCACUCUUUCCCUGAAGCCCUGCAAACUAAAGCUGAACAACGUGAUAUAAACUCAAGAGAGAUCACCACAACAGUCUGUUUUUAAACAACCAUCUUUGUCUGUUGCUGUAUAAGCCACUCAGAAAGUUUCCCUGAGCACCCAGUGACAUCAUCAGAGAUGUUUCAACCUGAAAAAGAUGCUUCGACUGUGACAUCUAAAGAUCUUCCUGACUGCCCCCUAGGGUCAGAAACUGGUUUAUAAUUUGCUCCAACUAUUAAUUAUUGUCUUUCUUCAUUUCCAUAGACAUGCCUCUUAUUAAAUGCCUGAUUGCUUGCACUGUAGACCUCAUUCAGGGAGCCCACCUACAUCACUGCCUCCUGCAAUGACACACGACUGUUAACUGCACUGAGCAAUGUUGAAGACUAAAGAUUAAUUCAAUGAAAUAGUGGAACAAAAUACCAGCUCAACUUGUAAUAUAUGAAACUUCCAGGGAAGUGCACCCCAGGAGGCAGGAGAAAGGGUCACCAAGAGCACGGGGAUGGACAGGAACACAGGGGUGUUCUAGAAAAGCUGGCCCACCCUGAGUUCUGAACUGCCACACUGGAUCCUACUCCAUGGCCUCAGUCCCUGUGCAGGCUCAGCUCUCAGACGGAGGCCUGGAGCGGCAGAGGAAGUGGUCCCAGGGGCUCAGCUGGAUGGACAGUGGCAGAGCUGGCCUUUGACCGCACGCCCCUCCCCCCUGUCCCCCUGGGCUGGCCUCUCAUCACGUGCCCGUGUCACCCUGCCCGGCCCUGCCCCGCCCCAGGUCAUCACCAUCUUCAGCCUGGUGGAGGUAGUGCUGCAGGCGGAGGACGCGGCCCUCAAGUACAGCGCCAUCCUGAAGCGGCCGGGCACCGAGGGCCUCCUGGGCCUGCAGGACGAGGAGGAGUGUGACCACGACCAGCAGGAGGACUGAGGCUGCGAGCCUGGCCACACCCCACCCAGCGACGUACCAACCUCCCCCACUGGCUUUUAGGAAUAAGACCUUUGCACACCAAAGGGGAUUUUUAAUUUGGUUUUUAACAACUCAGGGUUUUGUUUUUAUUUUUUCCUUUUACUUCAUUUUUGCUGCUCAGUUUUUAACGAACUGGAUGGGAGCGGGUGGGGCUGGACGGAAGGCUGGGGCCUGGCCAGUGCUCCUGGGAGGCCAGCCCCACUUCUGCCAGGCCACCACUGCCUUCCCCUGCCCAGGAAGCCAGGGGUUUUCAGCGAAUCAGUGUCAUGGAAUAAAAUCAAGUGCGAAGCGC